UUGCCCUGGGGACAGGGAUAACUCCGAGAAAUCGGAAUAAUACCUGAUAGAUCAUGAUGAUUGGAAUAUCUUUUGAUCCAAAGGCAUUUCAUUUAUUUGGAAUGUUCCGCCUCAGGAUAGGUCUGCGGCCGAUUAGGUUGUUGUUGGUGUAAUGGACCAACAAGCCCAUUAUCGGUACGGGUUGUGAGAGCAAGAGCCCGGAGAUGGUUUCUGAGACAAGAAUCCAGGCCCUACGGGGUGCAGCAGGCGCGAAAACUUUACAAUGCAAGAAAUUGCGAUAAGGGAAAUCCGAGUGUCAGCACAUGUGCUGACUGUCCAGAAGUCUAAAACACUUCUGAUAGCAAGUACCGGGCAAGACCGGUGCCAGCCGCCGCGGUAAUACCGGCGGUACGAGUGGUAAUCACUAUUAUUGGGUUUAAAGAGUCCGUAGCCGGUUUAUUAAAUCCCAUAGGAAAUCUGAUGGCUUAACCAUUAGGCUUUUAUGGGAGACUGGUAAACUUGGGACCGGGGGAGGAUGGAGGUACUUCAGGGGUAGGAGUGAAAUCUUGUAAUCCUUGGAGGACCAUCGGUGGCGAAGGCGUCCAUCUAUAACGGAUCCGACGGUGAGGGACGAAAGCUAGGGUCACGAACCGGAUUAGAUACCCGGGUAGUCCUAGCCGUAAACGAUGCAGACUAAGUGUCAGAUACAGUGCGACUGUAUCUGGUGCCGUAGGGAAACCGUAAAGUCUGCCACCUGGGAAGUACGACCGCAAGGUUGAAACUWAAGGAAUUGGCGGGGGAGCAC
rnacentral:rRNA from 1 species